rnacentral:misc_RNA from 1 species
AAAGUUGUAACAAGGUUUCUGUAGGUAAACCUGCGGAAGGAUUAUUAUUGUGGGGCUUUAGCCCUCUUAAGAUAGAACCCUUGCCUUUUUAAGUACCUUUUGUUUCCUUAGCGGGCUCGCCCGCUAAUAGGGACUACAAUAAACCCUUUGUAAUACCUGUAAUUGUCUAACAAAACAAACAAAAAAUUAAAACUUUCAACAACGGAUCUCUUGGUUCUA